rnacentral:tRNA from 1 species
AAAGGUUUAGUUUAAUAUAAAAUUUAAGAAUGUCAAACUUUAAAUACCUAAAAGGUAACCUUUU